CUAACUCAUUAAGGCAUAAUCACACCUGGAGCCUUUCGUGAGAGAAGCUCCUCUUUAAAAAGGCAAACACUUAACCACAGCCGUCGGUCAGUGGCGCCUUAGAGAGAUUCCUCUAACCUCCCCCAAGAGGGUCAACACCGAGAGCACGACUGCUUGGAAAAGGAAUCAGGGCACCAGAAAAGUAACUCUGAGGAUGGAGGUGUGGAUUUGGCUGACGUGGAAACCUCGAGGCAGGCCGGCGCCCGGGAGGCCGGGGUCAGGGCCGCGAGGCGGGAUGAACAGUUGGGACCCUUACUGCCCGUGUUCCAUGGGGGUCAUUCCAGAGGACAUUGGCCGAGACAUUUUGAGCUGCCUCUGCUUUUCCUCUGCUGAGUCGCAAAGUUAUCUACAAUAGACACUUAUUUUGUUAUUUACCAUUAGAAGAGGACCAGGAUAGCAGAGCCUAGCCUGUGCCUUGAGAGGUUUAUAUCCAGCUCUGCCACAGCCUAGCCAUGACCUCGGACAAGUUACUUCACCUCCAUGCCUCCGUCUCUUCUUUGUAAAAUGGUAAUAAUGAUAGUAUUUUCCCCAUAGGGUUAUUGUGACUAUUGGCUGUGUUCUGUAACCAGAGUGCUCAGAACUUAGUGAGGGCUCUAUACGUACUUGAGAUUUUAUAGACUCUGACCAGUAGGUGCAUCUUUUUGAAAAGCUUACUGAUGGAAAGAAUUACAUUCUCUGUUUUCUUUCAGAUUGCUUCUCAUUUCGCAUUUCCCCAUAUUUGUCUCUCUGUUAACUUUGUUACAAGUUAACAAAAAGGAAUGUUAUACUUUGAAUUAUAUCUUAAUUCUGUGCCCCACUGGAAAUAAAGUUUCCAAAUGAGA